UCCUCUACAGCUUCUUAGCUUUACGAUGGCAACAAGUAUGGCGGCUGCUAGUGGCAGAUUUGAAAGUGCGAAGACUAUCGAAGAGCGGAAAGAACAGACCCGGAAUGCCAGGGCCGAGGUGUUGUGCCAGGCCAAAGCCAAUUUUGAAAAAGAAGAAAGGCGUAAAGAACUUAAGCGACUUCGGGGUGAGGAUACAUGGAUGCUACCUGAUGUGAAUGAGCGAAUCGAACAAUUCUCACAGGAACACUCUGUGAAGAAAAAGAAGAAAAACAAGCAUUCAAAAAAAGCAAAGAAAGAGAAGAGAAAAAAGAGCAAGAAACAGAAGUAUGAAAAAAACAGUGAGUCAUCUGAUAGCUCAUCAAGCUCUGAAGAUGAGUGGGUUGAGGCUGUUCCAUCCCAGACUCCUGACAAGGAAAGGGCCUGGAAAGUGAAAGAUGAAAAGUCAGAAAAAGAUGACACCCAAAUUAUCAAGAGGGAUGAGUGGAUGACUGUUGAUUUUAUGUGUGUUAAAACUGUGUCGUCAUCAUCACUCAAAGCUGAAAAGGAAACUAUGAGGAAAAUAGAGCAAGAGAAAACCCAAGCACUUAAACAGUCCAAACUGAUGGAAAGAGAAUUGAAUCCGUACUGGAAGGAUGGUGGGACAGGUCUCCCACCCGAAGACUGUAGUGUGUCAUCGAUUACUAAAGUUUCAGUGGUAGAAGAUGGUGGAUUAAGCUGGCUAAGGAAGUCUUAUCUAAGAAUGAAGGAACAAGCUGAGAAACAAAAUAGAAACUUUGAGGACAUUGUAGCCGAAAGAUACGGGUCAAUGGAAAUAUUUCAGUCGAAAUUAGAAGAUGCUGAAAAAGCUGCAUCCAUGAGCGAAGAUUAUAAACGGGAGCGGUGGAGGAAACCCACAUAUUCAGAUAAAGCACAGAAUUGUCAAGAAAGUAGAAAAUCAGACUUAGUAAAAUAUGAUAACAGUUCAAGGGAUAGAUAUGCUACAACAGAUACUGCAAAAAAUAGCAAUAAUGAUAAAUUUAUUGGUGAUGGAAAGGAUAAGAGACCUGGGUCUUUAGAAACAUGUGUAAGAGAAUCUAACCCAAGGCAAAAUCAAGAGUUUUCUUUUGGCAAUUUGAGAGCUAAAUUCUUAAGACCCUCUGAUGAUGAAGAGCUGUCAUUUCACAGCAAGGGCAGAACAUUUGAACCACCUAGUUCAUCUUCAGCGUUGGUAGCUCAGGGCUCUUUGCGUAGUGGUUUUAGAAAACCCACCGAGAACAAUGAAGAAAGAUUAACAUCAUGGAGUCGCUCUGAUGGGAGAGGAGGCAAGAAACAUUCAAAUCAAAAGCCACUGGAAACCAGUACUGAUGAAUACCAACAUGUUCCAGAAGAUACAAGAGAAAAAUCGCAAGAUGAAGGCUUCAGAGGUGACCCCCCAAAAAAAGAACAUCUACAGGACACAAAGUCUACAUUUGCUGGAAGUCCAGAGCAUGAGUCCAUUCACAUCCUGAGUGUUGAUGAGAAGAACAAGUUGGGAGCCAAGAUUAUCAAAGCAGAGAUGAUGGGGAAUAUGGAAUUAGCUGAACAACUUAAAGCUCAACUUGAAAAGGCAAAUAAAUUCAAAGAAACUGUAACACAGACACCAAAAAAAUCUGGGGUAGAGAAUGAAGACCAGCAAGAAGUAAUCCUUGUCAGAACAGAUCAGUCUGGAAGAGUAUGGCCUGUGAACACACCUGGAAAAUCUCUGGAAUCACAAGGAGGAAGAAGAAAGAGACAGAUGGUUUCAACCCAUGAGGAAAAAGAAAGGGUCAGAUACUUUCAUGAUGAUGAUAAUCUGAGCCUAAAUGAUUUAGUCAAAAAUGAAAAGAUGGGAACAGCAGAAAAUCAAAACAAGCUCUUUACGAGAAUGGCAUCUAAGUUUAUGGGAAAACCAGAUGGAGACUAUUACACCCUGGAUGACAUGUUUGUCUCCAAAGCAGCUGAGAGAGAACGUCUUGGUGAAGAGGAAGAGAACCAACGGAAAAAAGCUAUUGCUGAGCAUCGGAGUCUUGCUGCACAAAUGGAAAAAUGUCUGUAUUGUUUUGACAGCUCUCAAUUUCCCAAGCAUCUUAUUGUUGCAAUAGGUGUUAAGGUUUAUUUAUGUUUACCCAACGUACGGUCUCUUACUGAGGGGCACUGCCUGAUAGUCCCUUUGCAGCACCAUAGAGCAGCUACUUUAUUGGAUGAAGACAUCUGGGAGGAGAUCCAGAUGUUCAGAAAAUCAUUGGUAAAGAUGUUUGAAGAUAAAGGAUUAGACUGCAUCUUUUUGGAAACUAAUAUGGGCAUGAAGAAACAGUACCACAUGGUUUAUGAAUGCAUUCCUCUCCCCAAGGAAGUGGGCGACAUGGCUCCCAUCUAUUUUAAGAAAGCCAUAAUGGAAUCUGAUGAAGAGUGGUCCAUGAAUAAGAAGUUGAUAGAUCUCUCUUUCAAAGAUAUCAGAAAGUCUGUACCCAGAGGGUUACCUUACUUCUCUGUGGAUUUUGGCCUUCACGGAGGGUUUGCCCAUGUCAUUGAAGAUCAGCACAAAUUCCCUCAUUACUUUGGAAAGUUGAUGUUGCCUGAGCCUAUAUAGAAAUUGGUACCUUGAAAAGUGGAGGUUUCUGAACAAAAAAACCUUUAAGCUACCCAUAUUUCUGACUGCUCCAGAGGGAGUUAUAACUUGGAGUAGAAACGCAGAAAAGAGGUGAAAGAGUGUCAUUGAAUGGGUCUUCAGAUGACUUUAGUCUCUCUGGAUCAAGCAGAUGUUGAAAGUGGACCAUCCUGUGGCUGUUUUCGUGGCACUCUGGAGGUUCCCUGCUGGUCCCACUGGAAGUUCUCUGCAGGCUAGAGGUGAAAGAGAACAAUCUGACACCUUCAGAGCUGGCAGAUUUAGGAAAUGAGAAGAAAUUUCCUUGGAAUGGAUGUCAGUAUUCUUAUGGAAGGCCCCCACACCGUAGCAAUGGUGAAACACCGUCUGUGGCUUCAUAGGUAGCGGACAUGAACCCAGGAGCUGGAGUAGUAGAGGUGACAGGAUCAACUGAUGGUGUCACAAGGCCACAACCACUAGCUGUAAGCGAGGUUGGGAAAGCCUCUCUGAUGGAGUUGGGUGAGUGUGAAGGAGUUUGGAACAGGGGUUGUGUUCAUCAACGGACAGAGUCUGCCACAGAUGCCAUCAUCUUCAUUUGGGUGUGAACAUCAUUCUGGAUACUUCAGAAAACCAAAACCCCAGCAAAUCCAGACAAGCUCCAGAAAAGCUCCCACAACUUAGAGUAAUAUGGAUAAGAAUGGUGAAAAGAAAAUCAAUAUGGAAUUACAGUUUAGAAAUUCCAGAAGAAAAGACUGAGGCAGAUGGAGGAGUAGCGACAAUCAAUUAAACAGUGACACAGGCUCCCUGAACUGAGGAUAGAUUAUCAGAUCGAAGGAGCUCACCACAUUUGAGAUUAAUACCCACUGGGAUCACCACCAGAAGAAACCAAAGAAUGAAAACAGCAACUACUAAUGCCAGGAGGACAGAGCCCAAAUAAGAAGAAACUCCAUGUAGAAUGAAAGCUGCAGGAUGCUCUUUUUACCUUCCAUCUAUGGGAUUUGGUCAGCCUUACAAAAAAGACCGGGGGAUAGUAAUACUCUUGGAGAGACGAAGAAAGAGUGGGCAGAUGGAAGGUGCAGGUAUUGAUUGGUGAUGAUCCUGCCCAGCCAGAGAUUUAAACAUGUAAACUUGGAGAAGAUGGGCCUGGAACUGCAAUUUGGAGGAGGAGUGCUCUUUGGUGGAGAGGAGUUGUAAAUGUCAGUGUGUGCCUAACAGUAGGAAACUGAGGAGAGAGGAUCAUAUUUGGUCUAGAAGUGUUCAAGCGAGAGAGAAGAAUGAGUGGCAGACUUGAAAACCCUCCCUAUGGAACUCAGCUAGUCUCCCUGCCUGUGCACUGUGGUGUUCUCAUUGUUCAGGUCUCAUCGUCUCUGGCUCUGACUUUCCCUUGCUUGGGGUCCCUUACACUUUGGCAGACCCUCAGGUGGACUCUCACACGAAUCCCACAUGUAUUCCAGACAUUGUUUUCUCAUAAGUCCAGUCUCUACUUUUAGUCUCUCGGGUAUUGGCCACAGUUUCUGGUCUGCCUAGAAUUUCUCAGCAUGGCUAUGCAUGUCCUCAUUAUACACAUUACUUUAGGAUGUGUAAGUGUGUAGACAUUUCACAUGCAUGCACAUAUACAUUAUUUUGGUGAAGGAUAUAAGGAGUUUGCAGUGUGUACCCAGUUCUCUAUUUUGAAACUGUG